rnacentral:rRNA from 1 species
UACGUAGGGGGCAAGCGUUGUCCGGAAUCAUUGGGCGUAAAGCGCGCGUAGGCGGCCCGGUAAGUCCGCUGUGAAAGUCGGGGGCUCAACCCUCGGAUGCCGGUGGAUACUGUCGGGCUUGAGUGCGGAAGAGGAGAGUGGAAUUCCUGGUGUAGCGGUGAAAUGCGCAGAUAUCAGGAAGAACACCCGUGGCGAAGGCGGCUCUCUGGGACGGUACUGACGCUGAGACGCGAAAGCGUGGGGAGCGAACAGG